rnacentral:rRNA from 1 species
AUUGAACGCUGGCGGCAGGCCUAACACAUGCAAGUCGAACGGAGUGGCGGACGGGUGAGUAAUGUCUGGGAAACUGCCUGAUGGAUGGGGAUAACUACUGGAAACGGGCGCUAAUACCGCAUACUAUCAGAUGAGCCUAGGUCGGAUUAGCUAGUUGGUGGGGUAAAGGCCGACCAAGGCGACGAUCCGUAACUGGUCUGAGAGGAUGAUCAGUAACACAGGAACUGAGACACGGUCCAGACUCCUUCGGGAGGCAGCAGUGGGGAAUAUUGGACAAUGGGCGAAAGCCUGCUCCAGCUAUGCCGCGUGUGUGAAGAAGGUCUUCGGAUUGUAAAGCACUUUAAGUUGGGAGGCGUUACCAGCAGAAUAAGCACCGGCUAACUUCGUGACAGCAGCCGCGGUAAUUC